ensembl:lncRNA
CCCUCUCGCCCUGACUGGCAGCCCCUCCCGUCUGAGGCAUCACUGUUGCCACCUUCUGCGCUCUUCCAGAAGUGUUCUGUUCCUAUGUAAUCCGACAUGUUCUUCUUCCCCAUCUGCCAUGUGCGAGGGGCUGCACCUCGCUCCUUUCACCCGUCAAUAGAUCGUGGGGACAGACGCAGAUAAGCACCCAAGGAACGAUUCCCAUUGUAGUGGCUGCCAGCUUCCCAGUGUUGACAUGACCGUGUAAUUCGACUUGCCUGCCCUUCACAACGGUGUUUGGGUCGAUGAGUAGUUAAGGAUAGCAUCUCUGAUUCAAUGAACAUGAGUCUGAGCAAACUCUAGGAGAGAGUGAAGGACUGGGAACCUCGGCUUGCCGCAGUCCAUGGGGUUGCAGAGUCAGACACAACUUAGUGACUGAGCAGCAACAGCCAUGGUGUGGGUCUGAGCCGGCAUGCCUGCAUCCCUCUGCUGUGGGAGUUGCUGGGGUCUGAGGGAACCAUCCAUUUGGGCAGGCUUCCUUGAUGGCUCAGAUGGUGAAGAAUCUACCUGCAAUGCAGGAGACCCAGGUUUGAUCCCUGGGUCAGGAAGAUCCCCUGGAGAAGGAAAUGGCAACCCACUCCAACAUUCUUGCCUGGAGAAUGCCAUGGACAGAGGAGCCUGACAGGCUACAGUCUGUGGGGUUGCAGAGAGCCG